GCUGAAGUUUCCACUGAAUGCGCUCAGAACCCUUUGGUAAUAUACUCAAGCCAUGCGUGGCUUUCAUACACUGGACACUAGUGAACUUGGAGUCCAUGAUGGAAAGACUUAAAUAAGACUUCAAUGUCGUAAUAAAAAAAAAAAAAACACACACAAGAGGAGCUACUGGCAGUUUAAACAGAGGAACAAAAGAACACAUCUGAAGGUCUAACAGA